rnacentral:rRNA from 1 species
AGAUUGAACGCUGGCGGCAUGCCUAACACAUGCAAGUCGAACGGGAGUAGCAAUACUCUAGUGGCGGACGGGUGAGGAAUACGUAGGAAUUUGCCCUUAAGUGGGGAUAACCCGGGGAAACCCGGAUUAAUACCGCAUGACCUCGAAAGAGCAAAGUGGGGGAUCGCAAGACCUCACGCUUUUGGAGAAGCCUACGUCGGAUUAGCUAGUUGGUGAGGUAAUGGCUCACCAAGGCGACGAUCCGUAACUGGUCUGAGAGGAUGAUCAGUCACACCGGAACUG